GUCCUCUCUAAUAUGGUCUAGCCUAAGGUGCCACAGAUACUUUUGGCUAAUCCUUUCUUUAGGUCUCUAAGACCCUAUGGCAUUCACUAUUUGCUCGUUAAUGUUUACACUCACAUCUGUAUGCAAAUGAUAAAGACCGUCAAUCAAGAAAGCACAUGCAACAAUUUUAUUUUUGAAAUAAAUUGAAUAUAUAUCUUUAUUGAAAUAAAAAUUAUAGUUAUCCUAUGCCAGCAC
rnacentral:lncRNA from 1 species